UUUUUUUUUUUUUUUUUAUGUGACUAGAAUCAGAGACCACAGCUGGCCAUGUCAUACUUGGAUUAAUACAGAACCCCCAAAACAAAUCCUACUCAAAGACUCAUUUAAUGUUCAAAGAAAAUGGAUGCAUUCAAACAUCUCUCUCUAGCAAAUUUUUUUUUUUUUUAUUCCUCUAAAAUGGACAAAGAUGUUUGUUUCUGCAUGAAGCGUCAAGAGAAAACUACUGACCUCUUCACAAAGUCAGUCUUUGGGUUGUUUUGUUGGAGUAUUUUUCUGGUUUUGGGGGUUUUAAUAUCCUCAUCUACCUCUACAGGUUAUGUGAAGGCUUUAGUCUGUCAUUUGUUCCAAAAAAACCCCCAACUAGGAUACUAAUAUUACACAUUCCCACUGGUUAUAUUACGGAGGACCAGGGCAACUUAUUAAAGGAGAAAUUCCACUAACCUUGGAAUGGUCAUCAAGUAAUUUUCUUGCAAAAUGGAAGUAUUUUCUUAUUUUAAUUUUAUGGAUAUUGUGCAUGAAUGCUGAAGUAAUAUUCACAUGCUGCCAGGCAGUUCCAUAUGCCAGCUUUUUUCUUUCUGCAUACAUGCCAGUGUCAAGUAGCAAAUGUUGUGAAGCCAAAUUGCACACUGCCUACACUUGUACACGUGUCUGUGGUUUUCCCCAAGUCAGUCAGUCCUCCCGUUGUUCAUCUCUCUGCAGGAGGAAAACAAAACAUGCACAGGUGUUCAAAUCUCCUAGAAAACCAUAGUUGUAAUAAAUAAAGCAUAAUCACAGGGUUUUUUCUAGAUCCUACCAAUUUUGGCCAUCCUUCAUAUCCCUAGCACACUAAUACUAAAAAUGAUGGUGUUGGUCAUUCCUUCACUGCUUUAUCAUCCUACUCCUAACCACACAGUGGAAGUAAAUGGGGGUGUUCUCUUGGUUCCUAUUAGGAACCUCAUUACCCCUCCUUUCUCUCUUUCUUGAAUUAAAAAUGUUUCAAUUAGUUCAAUAUGCCUCAUACCUCUUCAGCACACUACUGUCCGUCUGACUCACUUCCAAAUUGAAGUGCAUAUAUAAAAAAAAAUUGAAUCAGUUCAAUGAUUUUAAAUCACUCUUCAAUGUGCAAAGUAAUUUAAAGUUACUGGAGUGCUUCCAAUUUUUAUUAGUCCUUGAAUUUGGAAAUGAUCGAGGCUGUUCUGGGCAUGUGCAAUACACUGUGACUUAAAAUUAUUAUGUCCGUACUUACUUUAAAAAAAAAACCAAAACCAACAAAUUAGAUUUUACUUAACAGCAAAAAACAAUGAGGAGUACCACGGUCCAACUUUAAAAUACAAAAUAGGGGGGUGCAUCAUUCCAGAAGGCAUCAAUCUUGAAAAACUCUUGCAAUUUCAAAGGAAACUGAGAAAUACCAUAAAAUGCUUGAACUGUUCUAUAUGCAGCAUGGAGUCCCAUUUUAAUUGCUACAGCACUUUUGCAUUUAAUUACUUUCAAUGUAUCUAAUUGCUCUAAAUUUAGCAGUUUCCCCAAAAUCAAUAUAAGGACAGAAUCAAAAAGGGCUGACUUUCUCCUUAAAUCUUUUGAAUGCUUAGUGAGGUGAUUAAUCUUUAUGCACAAGACUAGCUCUUAUUGAACUUAAUAUGCCUCCUCACCUGUUUGAGUAGGCUCAGUAAAUGAAUGCUACUCUCUUACCCACAUGAGUAGAUUUACUGGAGUUCUAGAGAAGAUAAAAGGACUGCUUACAGGCAAAAGUAUUAAUAAUGCCAGUGAUGUAAUACUUGAAAGAACUAACUGGACUACUGCUUCUCAACAGUCCAUCCUAAUAUAGCUCUUAGUUUUUUUGAGAUAUAACAGUUGAAGUAUUCCUUUAAGCUGAAGGUCUUCCUAUUCUCCAUCACUAUAAUUAACAAGUAAGGAAUAAAUUAAAAAAAAAAAAAACACAAGUGUUUAUGACCCCUUUAUAUCAACUAAAUUUAUUUGACUGCUGUGAAGGCAGCCUCUUAAGACUGGGUAUUUUUAUACAUCUGGGGAAACCUUCUGGAUUUUUCAUCUGCAAAGCUUCCCAGAAGCUAAAUCAUGGACAUGUGAAGUAAGACUUCCACCUUGGAAGUAUUUUUCAUAAUGUUCACAAAUAACCCCACAAACCUUCAUAUGUUCCUCAUAAAUAUUAUGGAGCAUAACAUGGAGCCCAAGUCUGUGGGGAAGAGGAUUGGCUCUGUGGGGAAGGGGUGUUCCAUUCCAAACAGGCCUAUUUGCUACAAAACUGAAGUGCAGGGAGAUGAAGAGGUUUAAGAUCAAUUACCUGAAACCAGGUGCUGAGCAAAUGGGAAAAGUGAUGCAUCUGGAAUGCACCCUCCUCUUGCACAUCUCACCUGACUCUCAGCAUCUCUAUGGCAGCUGCUGCAGAGGACACAAAAAAACAGUGUAUUUGGUGUCUUGUGUUGCCCCAUUCCCCCAUUGGCACUACAGAGUGAGGAGAAACUACUCCUCAACUUCUCUGUUUCUCUCCCUGUAACAAUAGACUUUGAAAAAAAAAGAAAGAAAAAUUUAAGGAGCCGAACUUCAGCCUUUCAAAAGCAUCUCCUAGCUGUGCCCGAGUGCAUGUUGAAAUUCACUUGCCAGUAGCUGCAGGCAUCAGGCAUGGGAGGGAAAAAAGGCCACACCAUGACCUUAUUUCUCAUUGGGCUCCUGGGAUCCUUCUCUCCCAACUAAACAUCUGCCUAAGAGCUGGCCAGAAGGUAGCUGAGAAGCUGCUUUUAAGAGUAAACAACUCACUGUCAAAGCUCUUAGCAUCAGCACUCUGUGGAGGAAACAGAAGAUUGCCUGUGUCAUAUGAGUUUAAUAUUUGAUACAUCCAUCCACAUAUACCUGGCUAUAUCCUGCCCUUGUAAUGGGGAUGGACUCAAUGAUCUAAUAGAUCUUUUCCAUUUCUAGCUUCUAUUAUCCUAUUAUUAAAAGUAAUGAGCCUCUAAUCUAACAACUGAAAUAAUCAAUAAGAAAGUGAGUUUGUUUUUUUCAAAAUUACUUUAAUUUUAAAAAUACAGCAUGUCCAUUCCCCGCUUCCUGCUUUUGACUGUGAUAAUAAAACUUUCCCAAUGGCUAAUAUAGUUUAGCUAAACAAAUUAGCCAACUGCCCCAUUUAGCGGGAAGAGAAAGUUUCCAUUAGCCAUUCAGAUGUUCUUUGCCUGGUCAGCUAACAAUUUUUGCAAACCAGACACCAGAAGAUAGAUGAUUUUAAACUCACUAUAAGGCUGGAAUACAGUGCUUUACUAGAAACUCACAAAUAGUGUUUUGAAAAUUUGAUGGAAAAUCAGCUUGUCAGUGCCUUGGUCCAGACACGGGAAUGAUUUCCAAAGUAUGUAAGUUCAAAUGUUAGUUCUACCUUAUACUUUUUGUUUCAUUUUGGACAAAUCACUUUAGCUGUCUCCCAGGAAGCAAGGCUGAAAAACCUCCCUUCAUGCUUCUCACUUUAUUACACUGAAGUAGAUAGCUCAUUCAAGAAGCUCCAGCCAAAAUUCCUACAUAUUUUUACAGUGCCAAGCCCAGCAGUUUCAUAACAUUAGUAGGGAUUGUUAGGGAUAUUACAGUAUUAAAAGAAAUAAAAUUUGAUAUAGUAGUAUGAUAUACUGCAGAUUCUUAAUAAUGUAAUUAAACUAAUUACCAAGUGCCACAGAAAAUAUACCAGAACAAUCAUUUUAGAUUACAUACCCUGACUCUAUAGUAGCAAGGUGUUCGGUGUGAAAAGAGCAGAUCAAAGGAUUAUUGCAGUUGGUGCUGAAGGCCCUACAUCUAUAGAAUAGGCACAUUUCAGGAGUUACUUGAACCAGAUUUUAUCUGAUUCCUUGAACAAAAUAUCCCUACCAUGUAUAUAGAAGACCAGCCAUUAUUUUGGGCACUGGUAUGUGGCUGGGAAGUACCUGAAGCUCAACUCAGGUUCAUUUUCCUUCAGAAGGAAUCUAGUUUUCCCCCACAUCACCAAAACCCCCAUGAGCUGAAUCAAUGUCAUGUAAGUGCAAAAAAUCAGAUCAUUUGCUUCUGCUCUAGGCCAAACUCCAAUUCAAAGACAGCUUCUGAAGGGAAGGUACGUGGAGAUCAAUCUGAUGCUGUAACAGCUCUUUGUGCUCUUCUUACCACGUUCCAAAUAAUUCUCUGAGCUUCAAAGGCUUGUUGCUUGACAUGCCACAUGGAGUGAUAGUCACUGAAAAGUCCUCUGAUAAGGGAAGCCAAGAAGGAAAACAUAAGAAGGAAUAUCUUCUAGAGCAAGACACUCAAGAUGUUUCAGUCACUGCCUCCAGAUUCAUUGGUGUCCUCUUCCCCAAUUAUCAAUACUAAUUGAUAGUAUCAAUAUAGGUCUUCUCUGAAUAGUGGAUGAUGGUCACAGUAGCAGUAUUGACUUUCCCAAAACUUUCAGUACAGCUGAUUUUAGUGUACUUUACUGUUCUUUCAUCAUGGUAGUAUAAUGUUACAACCUCAGACAAUUGCAAAUUAAUCCUCCUAUUUUUAAAGAAUAAUCUUCCCAGUGAUACAUCACUGCUCUCAGUAAAGUGUUCUGUACGUGCAUAUCUUUUUAGAUUUUAGAAGAGCAGAGAAAUCCUCUGCCUAUGACAUUUUUCUUGUUGCUGAGAUUUGGAUUUUCUCUCCACCAAAUGUAACUGCAGCGCAAUGGCUGCAAGAAGAACAUAUCUGAGCAUGACAUAAAGGCAAGUCAAACCAAAGUAGCGACACUGAAAGAUCCCUUAAGAAACCAGCAAGCUAGCAAUCCCUCUGGCAUGGCACUCAAUGUCCCAGAAAAUCUUAGAGCCUGUAUUUAUCCUUCACUAACCAUGGCCAGCUAGGUUAAAGAAGACAGACAGCACAUGCAAAUUACAUUACUGCAUUUUUUUUGUUAAGGAUUUGAGGAAAUUAUUAAUCCAUGCCCCCAUUUACAGACAGUGAAAUUGAAAGUGUUUUAUUGAUACAUAUAAAAACUUCCUAGCUUUCUAUGACAUUUCACUGUAUAGGAGAAGUAUAAUAGCUUUCAGAAAUUUUUUUCCUCACCUAGAUUAUUCUGGAAAAUAAGUCUAUUGCUAAACAACUGAAAACAUCUAAUUUCUAAACAACUGUAAACAAAAAUUUAAAAAUUAGGGAAAGGGAGACAACUUCACUCUACUGUUUUUACAGUCAGAGACUAUUUAGCUGCUCAGCCUUGCUCCUUCCAUAAAUGUGUGACUUAACAGCUUUAUUGGAGAAACACCUAAAAUGAAGCAAAGACCCAGUGGUCUUUUGCUUCAACAAGUGAACCCUUUGCUUUGAACAAUGGAGAAAAAUGCCACGGUUUGUUUCUUGACUCAUCGCUUUGCAAUCCCAAAAAGAAAUGUUAAAUUGUUGAGAGCUGCAGAACUUCCAGGAAUACUCUUAAUUAAGACAUAGAGUACCAAGAAGGGUUAAUAUUGUUUGAAAGUAAAAGCUCUCAUUCUAAUAACAAGACCUCUCUCUGUGCACUGCUGGGUCAGCAUGGUAAUUAAGAAAAUUGCCUUUAGUGCAGUUGUUUGGUAAUGCUAUUAUCAUCUUUUUUCAUCUUUUAACAAGAGUAAACUACUUGAAGAUGUCCCCAUUUACUCUUCUUGCUUCUAGUAACCCAUGAACCCAUCAAGUCCAUACUAUGCUAGCAUUUAAUGGCCUAAAUGAGUUACUUUAUCAUCUGGUUCACCCUGAAGUCUUUUACAUAUUUUUCUUGACCUUUAACUUUCUGACUAUUAUUUUGACAGCUAUCAUUAAUGCUGUGUCCUGGGCAACCACACAUUGACUAAGAUGGAUGGCAGAAUGACUGAGGAGUUGAAAGUAACACACACCUACUUUCAUCUUCCUCUUGAUUAAAUCGAAACCAUACAAAGCCAAGCUGCACGAUGGGUCCCAUGGAAGCAGUAGAGAAUAUGAGCCACAGGUUUAGUGAGUAA
rnacentral:lncRNA from 1 species